UACGAAGGGGGGCUAGCGUUGUUCGGAAUCACUGGGCGUAAAGCGCACGUAGGCGGCUUUUUAAGUCAGGGGUGAAAUCCUGGAGCUCAACUCCAGAACUGCCUUUGAUACUGGGAGCUUGAGUCCGGAAGAGGUGAGUGGAACUCCGAGUGUAGAGGUGAAAUUCGUAGAUAUUCGGAAGAACACCAGUGGCGAAGGCGGCUCACUGGUCCGGUACUGACGCUGAGGUGCGAAAGCGUGGGGAGCAAACAGG
rnacentral:rRNA from 1 species